AUUAUUAUAAAGAUAUGUUUCUCUCCUUCUGGUUGAGACACGUCAUCAAUUCGGUGAAGGAGAGUGCGACACCUGUCCUUCCUUUCAAAACGUCGCGUUUGAUUUCGAAAUUAACAAGGUCUCCUUUUGGAGUCUCCGCCGUCCCAAGAAAAGUUCUCCACUCCACACACACGAUAUCGUUGAAUGCAAUCCCUUUACUUCCUUUCCCAGAAUUUUGACUAUAAAAACAUCUUCGUGCUACCACAUCCUUUGAUCAAACACUGGAUCUUUGUCCUGAGAAAUGACCAAACUCAUUCUCCUAUUUUCAAAUGUCAGAUCCUUGCACAUGUGAAACAAGUCGUGAAAGUUGACUUUGGGAGGAACAUCAGCGGGUUGUUUAGGCACACGCUAUAACCGUUGGGAAGCGUACCAGAACCAGCUGGGGUUGUGUCCGUCAGCUCAGCCGUAGUCUUAGUCCUAACAUGAUUGUCUAGAGGCCCGAGUAGCUUAACUUAAGUGAUGUUAAAAAAAGUGAAGCUGAUUAUCAGCCGUUGUCAUCUCAGCUAAGCAUUUGUUCAGGGGCAAGCGUUACAAAGGUCAACAAUGGCACACAAUUGAACCUUCUGGCCAUGGUGAAUGCACAAAUCCAUCUCUCCGAAAUGAAGCCAGGGCGUAGCAAGCAGGUUGUGUUCACACGUCUGCUUUGGUUUUGGGGGUCUAGAAUGUUAAGAAAGGAGGAAAGCUAAUUGGGUUGACAUGGUGUAUGUUGCAGAAAAGGUUAGUAACAGAUCUUUUGUUUCUUAUGUAUCUAUAAAUGUAAAAGUGGUGUUUGUCUUAAACAAAAGAAUUGUAUUUGUAAUAAAUGUUUUGGAUAUCCGAUUGGGGUAAGAAUUUUUGAGACUCUGA